CCUUUACAGACUGACUGAUUCACCUCUUGUGUCAAGGACGUAAGCUCAUAAAGUAUUAUCGUGUUAAGUAAUGAUAAACGGCAAGGUGCAAAAGGGGAAGAUAGUGAAUAGUACUCAUCUAAUAGAUUGGGCUUAUUUACUGUGAUUCAAAACAGGAAAUGCUUAUCUUGAGGCACAUGGUUCACGUAUGUGGCUGCCACAGUGCUGAAUGAAUUCGCUGAUCAAUCAAUAUUAACUUGACAACAAGACAGAUUACAGAUUUUAAUUAAGAAUUAUACAUUUAUAAUUUAUCAAAGGAAAUUGCCCACAUUUUUGCCAUUACCAGCAACUCAAUUGUAAAGAUGUGUCACUUUUCUCUCUGUAAAUUGAACAAAAAAAAAAAGCCAUCUGAGGGGUGAAUUUAGGGACCAAACAAUACAUCAUAUCACUAAAAAAAUAAUAAGACCUUAAACAAGCAAGUAUUUGAACAAUUUAUUUAGCUUUUCUUUAUGCGUUUUAAGUUAUAUUGCCGAAUAUUCAGGCCAACCUUGCACAUGUGAGGAUUUUCUGCUGUGUCUUGACUACACAUUAAAUAGUGGUCAACUGGUAACUUAACACAUCACCUCAAGCUCUGGAAGGUUGUUUUGGGAGGCUGUCACUAUUUUCUGACAUUAUAUUAUAAUAUCACUUCAGCCCCAGCUAAGUUAAUUAGGUCUUAUGGUGGCUAACAUUAAUUUAUGACCCAGCUGCUGGAAAUAACAAAGUGAAACAGAGACAUUACGUUCCAAGUUAAUUUUUUAAUAUCCUAAGCCCAAAUACUGGGGGCUAUGUAUCUUAAAAAGAGAUAUACCUCCUCCCCCACAUGAAGGUCAGUAAGGUCCACAUGUGUCUAUACAAUCCUGCCUUUCAAGGACACCUCAGUAAGAUGAAUGCUGUCUCCGGGGAAGAACCCGUGCUUCUUUUAUUUGUGGACUAUUUGCUCACUAUUGUAUUUUUCAUGGAAUAAUUUCAGUGACGUGUCAAACUUUUAUUUUGCCGUACUAGCCAGAAAUGCCUGUAGUCAACAUGGUAUAAAGGUUUGUAAAAGCAGCAUGCAUUAAACUGUCAUAUAGCAACUAUGUCCACUGAAGUGCUGUGCUUACAGUAAGUACAAUUAAGAGAUGCCCAACAGCACAUAAAGUAGAUAAAAUCUCUAUAUCUGCUUUAAAAAACAAACAAAUGUUAUUGCAUUGGUAUUGUAAUUAAAUAUUCUAUAAUUGGGCUGGUAUAAUAAGAGAUGCCAUUCUUCAUAAUUUACCUUGAUACUUGUUUUGAUUUUUUUUUAUACCUCUGUACUCUUACUGAAGUACGUAAAUAAGUAUUUCUACAGAUUGUAUUCGCUUUUUGCUUACAGGAUCUAAAAACAUCUUCCACCAAUAGCUGUAAUAACGGAAGUUUAUGUAAAUCGUCAUUUUUGUCAAUACUUUUUAGAGCUUUGGAGGGGUAAAAUUGCAAAAUAUGUAAAAACAAAAAAACAAAGCGAAAUUGCAGUGUUUAAGCAAAAGUCUGAAAAAUAAAUGUAAUUUUGUAUAUAGAGGUGUCACGGUUUAAGGAGAAUGACAACAGUGGUGAUAGUUGUGAUAUUUUAAAAAUUAAUUAUUGCUAUCGUGUUUAUAAGACAGAUGUGAACAUGUCACGUAGAUAAUAUUUCAACUCUUAAAUUAUUUCUGUUAAUAAAGCAUAUUUGUUAUUUUUGUAUGCUUUUGUACAGUUCUGGUUCCAGACUCUCUCUCCACAUCCCCAGACUUGUAUUUUGAGUGUAAUAAUUUGCCAGAAAGGAGACAAAAUACACAAUGAGACGAAAAAUGAAAUGAACUGAGCAUUGUUUUUUUCCUCUCAAAAUUUCUAUAGAUAUUGCGAUAAUGUUGUUACAGUUCAUGAUAUUUGUGUACUGAAAAUCUGAUCCCAUAAUCACCCUAAUUGUGCAGCAGAAUUUGUUAUUUAAGGGUCUGGAACCCCAGUCUGGUAACCACUGUGUGCACUGAAUAACUCUGCAUUUCAAAAUGUAAAGGACUCUUCAAAGGACUUUUAAAAGAAUCAGAACAACCACAGGACAAAUGAUUUACUAAAUGACAAAAAAGUGCUGAAUUAUUCACAUAUCUUUAUUAGUUCUGCUGAAUUUUAACAAAGGGGUGUUUUUUUUUAAUCAAGCCAGAACAGUACUAAUAACAUAAAUGCAAACAAUAAAUUUGAAACAUGUAUAAAAUCAGUAGCAUUUUUGUUCUCUAAACAAUGCAAUACUGUAACUACAUUUAUCACCUACAUCAAAAGGAACAUCAUUAUUUUUUUGGACAGGGUUGCUAUGAUUGCACCAUCAUGGUAGGCCGAUAAUAGGCUAUCUACACAGUUUUUUAAAAAAUAAAAAAUAAAUAAAACACAUAAAAGGAAAGCUCAAAUGGCACAUAUUUUCUCCGUCAGUUCACCAUAAUAUAAUAACAGUAAUAAAGAUGAUAAUACUAUGUAAUACCUUAGAGAUAAGUUAAUAUUGUUGAGCAACAUCUUUGUAUGCUGGCAUAAACAACACAUAUAAAAGCCAUGAUAUUCACAUCUGAGUCUACUGUACAUCAUAACGUGUGUGUAGGACAUAGUGCAGUUAGCCUGAAUGCUCCAUUUCUUCUUCUUUAGAUUUUUUUGUUUACUUCCUUCUCAACCUGCUUUGUUUAUACAGAAGAAAGUAGAAUUUUCAAGGAUAUGCAGACUCCCUCAUUUGAUACUUUCAGUCUCACUGCCCUUGUGUCAAGCUUAGAGCCCCUCCCCCGAAAACCCUUUACCCUUAAUAUAUCUUCACUUUCUCUAUUGCCGCUAGUCCCUCUAUCCUCAAUCUCAUAAGCUGAAGCUUUUUCGUAUGUAUACACACAUGCACACACCCUCUCUCUCUCUCUCUCAUACACACACACACACACACACACUCACUCACACACUCAAACGCACA